rnacentral:rRNA from 1 species
UACGGAGGAUGCGAGCGUUAUCCGGAUUUAUUGGGUUUAAAGGGUGCGUAGGCGGCCUUGUAAGUCAGCGGUGAAAUUUUGCAGCUUAACUGCAAAAGUGCCGUUGAUACUGUGAGGCUAGGAUUUGGUUGCUGUGGGUGGAAUGUGUGGUGUAGCGGUGAAAUGCUUAGAGAUCACACAGAAUAUCGAUUGCGAAGGCAGCUCACAAAGCCAAGAUUGACGCUGAGGCACGAAAGUGUGGAGAUCAAA